GCCACAUGCCUUCCCAGCUAACAGAGGUUUUCCAGACACCAUUGGCCAUCCUCCAGUGAAGUCCACUGGGGAUCAGGCAUUAGAAAUUCUACAGUACCUCUUCUCCAACGACCUGGAUGUGCCCGUGGGCCACAUCGUGCACACCGGCAUGCUCAACGAGGGUGGAGGGUAUGAAAACGACUGCAGCAUAGCACGGCUGAGCAAGCGCAGUUUCUUCAUGAUUUCGCCCACUGACCAGCAGGUCCACUGUUGGUUCUGGCUUAAGAAACACAUGCCGGAAGACACCAACCUGCUUCUGGAGGACGUCACCUGGAAAUACACGGCCUUUCCUCUUCUACUGUAGAUGUCACCACUCAGGAAACUGAGUGACAGUUUGGAGCCUGGAUAUAUGCAGUACCUUCUCUAACUUCACUCGAAACUCUCGUCCACAUUCCAGGGGUGUUGUGAAGGUAUUUAAAUCUUGACCCCAGAAGGCAAAAAACUUCUCGAUUCGGAGGCUGCGAAGAGCAUAAUACCCAGCAUUCCGGAUUCCAUAUUUCUGCCCAACACUCAUCACUUCAUUGUACACAUGCAGGGCAUACUAUAGGGAGAGACGAAAGGUUAGUAACCACCAGACACUUCAGAAGGAAAUGGAAUGUACCCAGGAGUGCCUGACUGCCGACACUAAUAACCCAGAAAAGAGGAGGUUGUCUACAAUUCCUAGGAGGUCUCAUCCACCACAAACCAAGGAGCUUCAGUGUAGGAACAAUGAAUAAGGUCCGUGGAGGCAGGAGUCUCAUCUUUUGUCUUCUCUUAAAUGUCUGGGAUCUUAGUAUAUAGCAAGUAUUAAAUCAUUGCUCACAGGAAUGCUCAUCACUCAGUGAAUGACCGUUCUCAUGACUUUUAAAAUAACCCACUUGUGCUUCACAACCUGCUAGUUCCGGCUUGUUCUCUUGCCCCAGUUACUCAGCCCUGGUCCUUCCCUCAUGCUGGCCCAUGCUGUGAAGCACAAAUUUCUCGUAGCUGUAGAUGAGCAGGUGCAACAUCUGAUCUCGCACAUAGACAGUGGCACAGCUUAGAGACCCAGAUGAGUCCCUGAGGAGCCAGAAAGCAGAGCUCUCCUGCCACGGCCCAGUACCUCUAGCCUCUCCAGCUGUUCGGUUCCCAGUUCCAAAAUCUGAUAACCUAAGUGAACAUAAGAUGUUUCCAAUUUGAAAAAAAAUCACUUCCUAUCCAGACAUACUCUGAUAAAUGAUUACACUGGUUUAAAAACUACAAAAGUCAAAAAACGAAAGACACAAUAAAGCCAGCCUCACGGUACUGUAGUUCUUCACCCUGGCAAUGUAUGUUGCUAUAAAUUGCCCUCCUGCAUCUGAUAGACAUCCAUGGGACAAACCACUGUGACCAAGACACAACUUUAAAUGUGGAAGAAAGGAAUCCACACUGUUGAACACAAUACUCAACCUAUGCUAUGUGAAGAUGUGAGACACCUGAACUAAGGAAGAUGGCUACAGGAGCAAUAGCCUGGCAGAGACGUGAGAAUAAUAAAAAGCCAUAGUAUCUGUUGGUGGACUUGUUGCUUUUCUCUCUCAAACUGAAUACCUCUGUACUUUAGAGGAAGAGUAAGGAGAAAAAAAUUAAACCAGGCUAAACUAGCCUUGGGAUAGAUGAGAGGAGUAAAGUUCUCUCAAGAACUGGGUGUGAACAAAAACAAGAAUCUGCCAUCUGUCCCUAUGUUUUCAAAGAACUCUUCUCAAAGAAGCAUUAGUUUCUUGAAGACAAGAGCCAGCUUGAAAAUAACUCUGGCAUGACACAUAUUUCCUCUCUUGAACUUGUGGGACAUCCUAACAAAGAGACCAGCCCAGAAAAACCAGAAGCCUCCACAGAGGGCCUCCAAGUGAGGACGAAGCUGCUGCAGCCACAGUCUGCACCCGCUGAUGGGAAGUGACCAGGUACACAGGCACCCGGGUGGCAAACCUGUACAACGUGGGGUGCUUCAGAAUUGAUCCCAGGUACAGGCAAAUCACAUCCGCUACAUUUGUAUCAACCCUCCUCAAAUGUUGGAUAAUUCCUUAUCUUCACAUCGCUAUAAUAUUUGAGUAUGAAUAAGAUGAAAUUUCCAUGAACUGAUAAAUAUGUGCUUUAACAAAUAACACUAAAAGCAAUAUGAUUAAAAUCAAGAACAGUACACAGAUGCCCUACGAUCACUGCCACCUGUAACAAGUGGACAAGACAAAAUUAAGGAAUGAAAAAUUGUUAAGGAAGGAAAACUAUCAUUUGUAUAUGAUAAGAUCUGGAGAAUGAGCUAAAAACAAGACAAUUUAGUAAGGAAGCAGUGUGGAGAAUUAAUAUACAGAAAACUUUCAUCAGUCAUAACAAAGAUAAUGGAACGCAGACACCUAAUUCACAAUAGCAACACAAAAUUAAUUGAAUAAACUUAAGAAAUGUGUAUGGAAGAAACUUCAGUUUACUGCUGGAGGACACUAAAAGAAAGUGAACAAAAGCCAACACAUAAAAAUGUCAACUCUCCCUAAUUUAUGAGUGUGAUACAAUGCCAAAACUACCAACAGGGUGUUUUUUGCUCUGUGUGUUAAGCAGAUUAUAAAGUUCACAAGGAAAUACAAGCAGGCAUUUUUCUUCUUUUCCAGAGUCCUCCAAGCUAUGAGGAAACAUCAGCACUACCAAAAAUUAAAGACACGUUACAAAAACUCAAUAAUUAAAAUAGUGUGGUUCUGGAUCAUGAAAUCAUGAAUAGACAGACCAAGGUAAUGGAUAUAGGAAGUCCAGAAAUAGACCCAAAUACAAACAGGAAUUUAGUGUCUGAUAAAGGUAGAAUCUCAAAUCAGUUGAGAAAUGAACUUUUCAAUAAAUGUGGGAUUGGGACAACUGGGUAUCCAUUAAAAAAAUAUGUAACAGUUUUGAGCCAUACCUCAUAAUAUACUCCAAAACACACUGCAAAAGGAUCAAGGCUUUAAAUAUUUUUAAAAAGUCAAAACAAUAACAAAACCCAGAAAGUGAAGAUGAAAACUGGGAAGAUUAUUUAUAACUUUGGAACAGGGAAGUCCCUUCUAACUAUAAAUUAUAUUCAAGAAACUGUGACUGAGAACGAGCAAAAAUAAUUAUAAUUUACUGAACUAUCGGUAAGACUAGAAACUGGUUAACCUUCUGAUAGAUUGUAAUGUAGCCAAAAGUAAAUACUUCUUAACUGGUAACUCACCAAACUGUAACCCAGAUGCUUUGAUGCUUUACUUUGUAACUAUAUAGCCUCAUAACUCCUGAUCCUGCACUUAUCCCCUUACCUUGUUUUGUAACUUAGAAGUCUUGUGAUCUUGCUAACAGUCCCUUAAUGUUUAUUAAUGAAGAAAUGUGUGUCAACCCACCCCAAUUCCUACCUUAUUGCAAUAAAGCCAAUUCUACCAGAAUUGGCCCACCUGACAUGUGCAGUACCAAAAAACUUUAACCUAUAAUAACCCAUAUUUCCCUGUAAUACUAAAAAUCACUCCCAUCAUCAUGUUAAGGCUGUGAUUUUCUUACAUGCAUCCUGUGACGAAUAAAAUAGAAAAACGCACGCAACAAACUUUUAUUGAGCACUUACUAUAUCCUAAGCAUUUCUCUAGGUGCUGGGGAUAUAACAAUUAACAAAACAGGCAAAAAUCCUUUUGUGCUAUGGCUAAAAGUAAAACAGGAAGAGGUGACACCUGAAGGAGAUGAGGCCAUGAGCCUUCGGCGUCUCUAUUUGAGGGAAGGGUGUGCAAAAGACGGCCCAAGGCAGAGGCAUAUAGCAUGUUCAAAGAACAGCAAGGGAUGAGAGGCACAGAGGAGAGAGAUGACCAGAAGCCUCACUCAAAUGGGUAAGCAAACUGUAGGACCUGGCAGACUGGCUUUUACUUGGAUUGGGAUGGGUUUUUGAAAAAGUUGCUCAGCCUUGCUCAAAAUGGAAAUUAAAAAUGUACUAGGGCAGACGGUCCUAUUUUGCACCUAUGAGACCAGCAAACCUGCUAAUGUUUGACAACUCCAUAAGCUAUAAGGAAAAAGACAAUCUUGUACACUGCAGAAUUAUUUAUCUAUGAUAGCAAAGGACUGUAAACACCAUAAAUUGGAUAGUAUAAUAGCUUAUGAUUCAACCAUACAAUGCCACUGUUUAAAAGAAAGAGGAAGAACUUUCUCUUUAGAAAUGUGAUAAGAUCUCUAAGAUAAAUUAAGCCAAAAAAAUAAAAAAUAAAAAUAGAAGUAUGCUUCCAUUUGUGUUUUUUAGAAGAAAGGGUCCUAUAUACAGAAAAUCCUGAAAACUCCAAUAACAAAGUUCCUACAACUAAUAAAUGAAUUCAGGAAAGUGGUGCGGUACAGGAUCAACACCCCAAAAUCAGUAGAAAUCAGUAGUGUUUCUACACA